GAUGAAGAACGUAGCGAAAUGCGAUAAGUAAUGUGAAUUGCAGAAUUCAGUGAAUCAUCGAAUCUUUGAACGCACAUUGCGCCCGCCGGCAUUCUGGCGGGCAUGCCUGUUCGAGCGUCAUUUCAACCCUCGCAGCCCAUCUGGGCAGCGGUGUUGGGGACCGGCACCACCGGCGAAGCCCUUAGGGGCCCAGCCGGCGCCGCCCCCGAAAUACAGUGGCGGUCUCGCUGCAGCCUCCCUUGCGUAGUAGCACACCUCGCACCGGAGCGCAGCGCGGCCACGCCGUAAAACCCCCGACUUUCUGAGUUUGACCUCGAAUCAGGUAGGAAUACCCGCUGAACUUAAGCAUAUCAAUAAGCGGAGGA
rnacentral:misc_RNA from 1 species